UACGGAGGAUGCGAGCGUUAUCCGGAUUUAUUGGGUUUAAAGGGUGCGUAGGCGGCCGAGUAAGUCAGCGGUGAAAUUUUGCAGCUUAACUGUAACAGUGCCGUUGAUACUGCAUGGCUAGGAUUUGGUUGCUGUGGGUGGAAUGUGUGGUGUAGCGGUGAAAUGCUUAGAUAUCACACAGAAUAUCGAUUGCGAAGGCAGCUCACAAAGCCAAGAUUGACGCUGAGGCACGAAAGUGUGGGGAUCAAACA
rnacentral:rRNA from 1 species